CCUACGGGUUGCACCAGUGGGGAAUAUUGCACAAUGGGCGAAAGCCUGAAGCAGCGACGCCGCGCGAGGGAUGACGGCCUUCGGGUUGUAAACCUCUCUCAGCAGGGACGAAGCGAAAGUGACGGUACCUGCAGAAGAAGCACCGGCCAACUACGUGCCGGCAGCCGCGGUAAUACGUAGGGUGCAAGCGUUGUCCGGAAUUAUUGGGCGUAAAGAGCUCGUAGGCGGUUUGUCGCGUCGGCUGUGAAAACCUGGGGCUCAACCCCGGGCCUGCAGCCGAUACGGGCAAACUAGAAUUCGGUAGGGGAGACUGGAAUUCCUGGUGUAGCGGUGAAAUGCGCAGAUAUCAGGAGGAACACCGGUGGCGAAGGCGGGUCUCUGGGCCGAUAUUGACGCUGAGGAGCGAAAGCGUGGGGAGCGAACAGGAUUAGAUACCCCUGUAGUC
rnacentral:rRNA from 1 species